UGCUAUUUUUGUGAUAUAAACUUAGAAAGGUGCUAUUUUGGAGAUUUGCCCAAAGCAAAAUAUGGAAAAUAUUAACGAUGUAAAUUCAACAUGCUUAAUAAAAGCAAAUAUGGAAAUAUACUUAAAUCUUAGUUUCUGUUUUGACUCUUGAGAUUUAAUAAAGAAAACCGUUAGAUAGCACGUGUCUCAACGGCGUGGUCAGUUCUUUGUUUACGGGAAAGGUAAAUUAUUUAGGGGGGGGGAGCUUACUGAAUUCAAGGAUUUUGAUGGAGGGUUUCAUGAAUUCAAGGAUUUUGAUGGAGAUUUAAAAGGAGAUUUUGGUAGGAUUUGGUAAAAAAAAAUUUAAAAAAUUUUAAUAAUAAUAUCGGCCUAUGGUAUAUAGGUUGGUAGGUAUAGGCAAAAAUAUAUUUACGACUUGCGCUAUAUUGCUCUGAUUUUUGGCUUAAGUAUUGAGACUACGUUAAUCAACCAUAGUCAAACACUAAACUAUGUUAACAAACAAUGAUGUUGACAUAUAUAUAGGUUGCCGAUGAAGAGAUCUGUUAAUAUAUUGCUAGUUUCUGCAACACACAUCUAUUUGCAUCACUUUGUGUUGUUGUU
rnacentral:lncRNA from 1 species